UACGUAGGGGGCAAGCGUUGUCCGGAUUUAUUGGGCGUAAAGAGCGUGUAGGCGGCCAUGUAGGUCCGUUGUGAAAACUCGAGGCUCAACCUCGAGACGCCGAUGGAAACCAUGUGGCUAGAGUCCGGAAGAGGAGAGUGGAAUUCCUGGUGUAGCGGUGAAAUGCGCAGAUAUCAGGAGGAACACCAAUAGCGAAGGCAGCUCGCUGGGACGGUAUUGACGCUAAGGCGCGAAAGCGUGGGGAGCAAACAGG
rnacentral:rRNA from 1 species